UACGAAGGGGGCUAGCGUUGCUCGGAAUCACUGGGCGUAAAGCGCACGUAGGCGGCUUUUUAAGUCAGGGGUGAAAUCCUGGAGCUCAACUCCAGAACUGCCUUUGAUACUGAGAAGCUUGAAUCCGGGAGAGGGAUGUGGAAUUCCCGGUGUAGCGGUGAAAUGCGCAGAUAUCGGGAAGAACACCCGUGGCGAAGGCGGCACUCUGGGACGGUACUGACGCUGAGACGCGAAAGCGUGGGGAGCGAACAGG
rnacentral:rRNA from 1 species